UAUGCUUAGCCUUAAACCUAAAUAAUUUUUUAACAAAAUUAUUCGCCAGAGAACUACAGCCAGAGCUUAAAACUCAAAGGACUUGGCGGUGCUUUAUACCCGCCUAGAGGAGCCUGUUCUAUAAUCGAUAAACCCCGAUAAACCUUACCACUCUUUGCCAACUCAGCCUAUAUACCGCCAUCUUCAGCAAACCCUAAAAAGGGACAAAAGUAAGCUCAAUCAUCACCAUAAAAACGUUAGGUCAAGGUGUAGCCUAUAGAGUGGAAAGCAAUGGGCUACAUUUUCUACUUUAGAACACACGAAAGCCCCUAUGAAACUCUAGAGACCAAAGGAGGAUUUAGCAGUAAAUUAAGAAUAGAGUGCUUAAUUGAACAAGGCCAUGAAGCACGC
rnacentral:rRNA from 1 species